UGGGGAAUCUUGCGCAAUGGGCGAAAGCCUGACGCAGCCAUGCCGCGUGAAUGAUGAAGGUCUUAGGAUUGUAAAAUUCUUUCAGCGGGGACGAUAAUGACGGUACCCGCAGAAGAAGCCCCGGCUAACUUCGUGCCAGCAGCCGCGGUAAUACGAAGGGGGCUAGCGUUGCUCGGAUUUACUGGGCGUAAAGGGCGCGUAGGCGGAUUGACAAGUUGGGGGUGAAAGCCCGGGGCUCAACCUCGGAAUUGCCUUCAAAACUGUCAGUCUUGAGUUCGGGAGAGGUGAGUGGAACUCCGAGUGUAGAGGUGAAAUUCGUAGAUAUUCGGAAGAACACCAGUGGCGAAGGCGACUCACUGGCCCGAUANUGACGCUGAGGCGCGAAAGCNUGGGGAGCAAACAGGAUUANAUACCCUGGUAGUCCACGCUGUAAACGAUGAGUCUAGUUGUCGGCAGCAUGCCUGUCGGUGACGCAGCUAACGCAUUAAGCA
rnacentral:rRNA from 1 species